rnacentral:lncRNA from 11 species
AUGGGCCAACUUCGGCCCUCCCUCCAGGUGUUUCUUAAGGAAUUGUGGGAGUUGAAGUCCAAAACACCUGGAGGGUCCAAGUUGGCCCAUGCCUGGGAUAGAAGGUCAGGUGUAGCUGGGAUUCUUGGACUCUCUUCCCCGCUUUGCAAAUUCCUCCUUAUUAUGCAACAUACUCGCUUAUCCAACGUUCUGCCGGCCCGUUUAUGUUGGAUAAGUGAGACUCUAUUGUAAUAAUAUUGAACCACAUAAAACUUGUGCAAUGUAUAUUUUUGCAAAAUCAAUCAAAUAAGUGUUAUUAGUAUCCAUUCGGGAGUGAAAGUCAGUUAAAUACUUUAGGAAGAUAAUAUGUAUUCCAGACGUGAUACAUUAUAAAGCAACACAAUGCAAUUUUGUUUAACAAAAAGUCGUCCUGUUUGGUUUGCAUACAAAGUGCUCUUUUGUCGGGAAAUAGUUACAAAUUGAAUUCCCUUUGCAAAGAAAUUUAGUUACAAAUUACAAGUGGAUGCUGAACUGGAAGGAAAUCCGUGGGUUUAUUAGGAAAAUAAGCAUAAAUGAGUAAAAUUGAGUAAAUACAUCUUAUCCUGACCUUUGUCAAACUAUAGCUCCCAGGUUUCCAUAGCCAUGAAUCAAGUGUUCUAAAACUGCAUUAAUUCUACAGUGUAGACGCACCCUAAGUAAGGCUUGGGCUCAUCUCGACCUUUGUCAAACUACAGCUCCCAGGUUUAUUUUAUUUACUUACUUAUUUGCAUCACUUUUACCCCGCCUUUCUCCCCGAGGGGACUCAAAGCGGCUUACAAUAAAUAGGCAAAAAUUCAAUGCCUAAAAAUAAAUCUACAAAACAACAAUUCAUAUAAAACGAUCUACAAAACAACAAUUCAUAUAAAACAGGUACCAUUGCAAAAUAAAAUCGUAUUAUAUAAAAUUUUAAGCAUGUCCUAGAUGCAUGCCCAAGGUUUCCAUAGCCAUGAAUCAAGUGUUCUCAAACUGCAUUAAUUCUACAGUUUAGACGCACCCUAAUACUAUACCCUAAAUAAGUUUUGAGCUUUUGUAGAUCCAAACACCAACAAAGUGG